UACAGAGGUGGCAAGCGUUGUUCGGAAUUACUGGGCGUAAAGGGCUCGUAGGCGGCCAACUAAGUCGGACGUGAAAUCCCCAGGCUCAACCUGGGAACUGCAUCCGAUACUGGAUGGCUUGAAUUCGGGAGAGGGAUGCAGAAUUCCAGGUGUAGCGGUGAAAUGCGUAGAUAUCUGGAGGAAUACCGGUGGCGAAGGCGGCAUCCUGGACCGACAUUGACGCUGAGGAGCGAAAGCCAGGGGAGCAAACGGG
rnacentral:rRNA from 1 species